UGUGUAGGCGGGAUAGCAAGUCAGAGGUGAAAUCCUACAGCUCAACUGUAGAACUGCCUUUGAUACUGUUAUUCUUGAGUAUCGGAGAGGUCGCUGGAAUUCGUGGUGUAGCGGUGAAAUGCGUAGAUAUCACGAGGAACUCCAGAGGCGUAGGCGGGCGACUGGACGAUUACUGACGCUGAGGCACGAAAGCGUGGGGAGCAAACAGGAUUAGAUACCCUGGUAGUCC
rnacentral:rRNA from 1 species